UACGAAGGGGGCUAGCGUUGUUCGGAAUUACUGGGCGUAAAGCGCACGUAGGCGGAUCGUUAAGUGAGGGGUGAAAUCCCAGGGCUCAACCCUGGAACUGCCUUUCAUACUGGCGAUCUUGAGUUCGAGAGAGGUGAGUGGAAUUCCGAGUGUAGAGGUGAAAUUCGUAGAUAUUCGGAGGAACACCAGUGGCGAAGGCGGCUCACUGGCCCGGUACUGACGCUGAGAUGCGAAAGCGUGGGGAGCGAACCGG
rnacentral:misc_RNA from 1 species